UAAUUGUCACUUGAUAAGGUUAAUUGCUAACCUUUAUUGCGGGAGUGGCCGUUAUUAACACGACCUUGAGUGCACGCAGGACCCUUGCAAUGCAACCUGCUCACACUGAGGGCAGGUCUCAUAGACUACCUCUCUUGCCGAGCAUAUUAGGACAUUCACGAGAAGGAUACAUUCUAUUUCCUCGAGACAUUUAUUCCAUCUGUAGAAAUGGAAAUAGAGAGAGUCACUCCAACACGAAUUACUUUCCUCACGACCAUGAGUGCCGCGGGAGUUCUGUUGCUGUCGUUGCUAACCCUAGCCGACGGGGGAAGCCCUCAGUGCAUCUCCAAGAACGAUGAGAUGUCCCCUCCUCCGCGCCCAGACCUCGGCCACAUCGCCCCCUUCAGCGUCGCGCUCUUCAGGGAGGUCCUGCCGUCGAAGGGAAACUUCGUCUUCUCGCCCUACAGCGUCUGGACCGCCCUCGUCCUGGCCUACUUCGGGUCCGGCGGGAACACGCAGACCCAGCUGGAGCAGGUCCUUCAGCUCACCAACAAGGCGGACACCCUGGCCUUGUACAGAGCCGUGACGGAACUACACGAGACGCAGGACAGCAAGCCUAACUACACCCUCAAUGCAGCUAACAAACUUUUCGUGCAGGAAUACUACCCAAUUUUCGAGUGUGUCCGUCACGUGCUCGCCAACAAGCUGCAGACUGUCAAUUUCCGUAGGUCUCAUAAAGCAGCGGAGACUAUCAACCAGUACGUUCGAGACACGACUCGCGGCAAAAUCUCGGAACUCGUGAGACCGCGCGAGAUUUCCCGAGCGCAUAUCGUCCUCGCCAAUGCCGUUUACUUCAAAGGGCUUGUGGGAGCAGCAGUUCCAGCCUGACAACACCCACCUGGAGAAGUUCUAUCCCGCUCCGGAUCAGCACGCAUUUGUUGACAUGAUGACACAGGAAAAUAAGUUUCCGAUCGGUUACUCGGGCGACCUGGACGCGCAAGUCCUGGAGAUCCCGUACCGAGAGCGAGGAGCCUCCUUGUUCGUGUUCCUCCCGCGGGAUCGCAAUACCGGCCGCGAGUUGGACGACAUGCUGCGCCAGUUCCAGCCCG